GUAGUCUCGCACAGAUGCAUAUCAAUAAGCGGAGGAAAAGAAACUAACAAGGAUUCCCCUAGUAACGGCGAGUGAAGCGGGAAGAGCUCAAAUUUGAAAUCUUAAAGGGUUUCCCUUUACGAAUUGUAGUUUAAAGAAGUGUUUUCUGUUGAGGUUUUGGCUAAAAGUUCUUUGGAAUAGGACAUCAUAGAGGGUGAGAAUCCCGUAUUUGACCUUUACUUUCAACUUUGUGAUACACUUUCAAAGAGUCGGAUUGUUUGGGAAUGCAGUCCAAAAUGGGUGGUAAAUUUCAUCUAAAGCUAAAUAUUGGCGAGAGACCGAUAGCGAACAAGUACCGUGAGGGAAAGAUGAAAAAGAACUUUGAAAAGAGAGUUAAACAGUACGUGAAAUUGUCAAAAGGGAAGCGUUUGACACCAGUGUUGUUUUUCUGAAAAUCAAUUAAAGAACUGUUUAUGCUAAGUUGUUUAGACUUUAUCAGCUAACUGUUUAGUUUUGAGCUUUUCUUUAAUGCACUUUUCAGUUAACACGUCAACAUCAAUUUCUUUUGCUGUAAAAAAGCCUGAGGAAGGUGGCUUGAGAUUCGUCUUAAGUGUUUAUAGCCUCUUGCCUAUGCAGUCGGAGAGAUUGAGGUCUGCAGCGUAGAUCCUUCGGGGCUAAAUGCAUUUGUGCUAAGUUAUAACAUUUUAUAGACAACUUGUUGACUAUGAUUUGUCUUGUAGCUUACUCGCUUAUGUUAUUUUACCUACGCUUAGGAUGUUGAUCUGUAGUGCGUGCGC
rnacentral:rRNA from 1 species